rnacentral:rRNA from 1 species
UUGGAGGGCAAGUCUGGUGCCAGCAGCCGCGGUAAUCCCAGCUCCAAUAGCGUAUAUUAAAGUUGUUGCAGUUAAAAAGCUCGUAGUUGAAUUUCGGGGUCAGUAGGUUGGUCAUGCCACUGGUAUGUACUGGUCUCACAGAUUCCUCCUUCCUGAUGAGCCGUAAUGCCAUUAAUUUGGUGUUGCGAGGAAUCUGGACUGUUACUUUGAAAAAAUUAGAGUGUUUAAAGCAAGCUAACGCUUGAAUACAUUAGCAUGGAAUAAUGAAAUAGGACGUUCGAUCCUAUUUUGUUGGUUUCUAGGAUUGACGUAAUGAUUAAUAGGGAUAGUUGGGGGCAUUAGUAUUCAAUUGUCAGAGGUGAAAUUCUUGGAUUUAUUGAAGACUAACUACUGCGAAAGCAUUUGCCAAGGAUGUUUUCAUUAAUCAAGAACGAAAGUUAGGGGAUCGAAGACGAUCAGAUACCGUCGUAGUCUUAACCAUAAACUAUGCCGACUAGGGAUCGGAUGAUGUUAAUUUUUUAAUGACUCAUUCGGCGCCUUACGGGAAAC